rnacentral:lncRNA from 1 species
CUUGCAUCUUUCUCUAUGAUUUUUAUGAUAUUUGUUCUUAAAGUGGGAUUUUUUUUCUAGGAAGACUUUGUUACUUUUAUUGGAACUUUAGAAAUAAAUCUUCUCAAGUCUGUGGUUUCUGUUCAUUCUGAAAAGAAUAUUUUUUCUGCAUUAUUCUGGUACUUUUCUAAGAACCAGAAUUGUUGCCAGGAUUAGGAAUAACAUGUAUGUAAAGCAUCUGAACCAGAGGAGAUUUAGCACUCACAUGAACAGGAAACAAGAAAUGUACCAAUUCUUUGGCCUCCAACAGAAACCAAAUAAGGUUUAGAAAAUGAUUGUUUCUAUAAAAUAACUAAUAGAUUUUUGGUUUAUACAGUGCAGCAAGGAGCACUGUUUAGACCAAGUCUGCACUAAGAGGUGUCAAUUUUUUCCUUUCAUGAAAAUUUCUAAAAUGGAAAAUGUUUGUGUAAGUAUAACACUAGAAUCACUUUGCAUGGAUAUAUUUCUACUCCCAUGUAAAUAACUAGGGAUUACCAUGACUAUGAAAUUGUUGGUCUUUAAAACCUUCCUCUCAAAUAUGGAAGGUGGGAUUUGUUGCCUUUUAUUAGUGCUCUCCUUCAAGAGGACACAGGAGUUUCUGUUUGCAGAUUAGUGGGUGCUCCUGAAGAGGGAAAUUCAUAAGCUCAGCCAAGCAAUAUUUGCAAGGCUGCGGUUCUGAGCACUGCUUCACAUAUUUGCUGUACACAUGCCAAGAGGAAGUUUUCCUGACCAUGGAGCAAAUUCUUAAAGAAAUACCUGCAAAACAGGUGCUGAUGCCAUCAAGUGAUGGAAGGUGAUAUGCUGAGAUGCUUUAUGUCAGCAAUGAGGGCAAUCAGAUUCCCAGAAAACAAUUCCAAGCUGAUCUCCAGAACAGAAAGAGUUAAUAAAGUUGCUGUGACAAAAUUUAUGGGACUAAAACAAACUAAGUCACUGAUGAAGAAAGGAGGAAGAGUGCAUUUGCUCCUGAGAUCCAGCUCUACUGAGGAUUUUAUCUGUUUUUUCAGAUCCAAGACAAGAGAUUACAUUAUGACUGACAUGCUGAUGUAUUUUUUUACUCCUUGUAAGAACCUAAGCAGUGCAGGAGUUUUGGUACAGGCUGCAUUUCAGCGUGUUGAAAGAUUCUGUGCUUGUUCCAAGAGGCUCCCAAUGAAAUUUCCUCACACUGAAUGUCCAUGGCAUUUCAAUUCUGCACUUGCUACAAAGGCACAGGGCAUGACCAGUUCCUUGGUUUCCAUCCCUCUCACUCCAUUCCCAACAAAUACAGUACAAUGCCAAGUACAGUCCUUUUCACAUGCAGCUUUCCUUCUUCCACCCAGGAUUUAA